rnacentral:antisense_RNA from 2 species
AGUUAUGGCGGCUGUGCGUGGGAGACCUUCGGGUCUGCCGGGUUUUGACCUUUUAUCUCGGUUUUUCCAGUCCGCGUACAGCUGCCACCUUU